UUCUCUGUCCAUUCUCCAAAUUCCGGCACUCUCUCCCUCCCAUCUCUAGAAAAGGUAUUUUCUCUUCCUCUGCUCUUUCACCCGGAAGACCUUUCCUCUUAGCCUAAAUUUAACGCCUUCGGGGAGCUUACAAUGGAGAGAAGAAAGAGGCAAAAACAGCUGCUGAAUCCGGAAACUUCGUGUUCUGAUUUAAAUUCUCCCGGGAACUACCGACAAAAAUGGAUGUUUUAAGAAUCAAAAGAGAGGCUCUGUGUGAAUGAAGAUUGAAGCCAUGAAGCAAAAUAGAGACCAAAGCUUCCACGGAACCCUGUCUGCAUCUCUCUCUGUCAUCCACAUUUUAAUGUGAACAACCAGCUGAUCCGAAGUACUGCAUUGCACAUCACGAUGCACACACGCCACGUUUGAUCUCCCCAUCCCCCCAUCGAGGACAUCCAAUUCCCCACUGUGGUGGUUUGAAGCUGCAUGUACCCCAGAAAAGCAUGUUCUUAAAUCUAAUCCAUUCCCG